rnacentral:rRNA from 1 species
UACGUAGGUGGCUAGCGUUGUCCGGAUUUACUGGGCGUAAAGAGCGCGCAGGCGGUCGUUCAAGUCGAGUGUGAAAGCCCCCGGCUCAACUGGGGAGGGUCACUCGAUACUGAUCGACUUGAAGACAGGAGAGGGAAGCGGAAUUCCCGGUGUAGUGGUGAAAUGCGUAGAUAUCGGGAGGAACACCAGUGGCGAAGGCGGCUUUCUGGCCUGUUCUUGACGCUGAGGCGCGAAAGCUAGGGUAGCAAACGGGG